AAGGAUAUAGCUUAAAGGUAGAGCGCAUGUCUUCAACACAUGUAGUGGUAGUUCGAGUCUACCUAUCCUUG
rnacentral:tRNA from 1 species